rnacentral:misc_RNA from 1 species
CAGAGUUGCAAGACUCCCUAAACCAUUGUGAACCUACCUUCUACCGUUGCUGUCGGCGGGCGGGCCCAGCGCCCCCCCCGGCCCCCCGCGGGCGCCCGCCGGAGGAUACCCAAACUCUUGACAUUAGUGGCCUCUCUGAGUAUUCUUUACUGAAUAAGUCA